rnacentral:tRNA from 1 species
GGGCCUGUGGUGUAAUGGAUGCUUCUGCCAUAAAGCACAACCGGCUUCGGACCGGUUAAUCGGGGUUCGAAUCCUCGCAGGCCCA